AUACUUACCUGGCAGGGGAGAUACCAUGAUCACAAAGGUGGUUUUCCCAGGGCAAGGCUUAUCCAUUGCACUCCGCAUGUGCUGACUCCUGCAGUUUUCCCAAAUGUGGGAAAUUCGGCUGCACAAUUCGUGGUAGUGGGGGACUGCGUCCAUGCUUUCCCCUU
ensembl:snRNA U1 U1 spliceosomal RNA